rnacentral:antisense_RNA from 1 species
CCAAUCAAGACCAGAACUGUCCAGCUAAGGCCAGUCUAAAGCCAACUCUGACUUGUGAGCAAAAUAAAUGCUUAUUAGUCAUUGAAUUUUGGGAUGGUUUGUUACAGAACAUUACAGUGGCAAUAGUUAACUGAAGAUAAAACUCCCUUCAGUGAUGGACACCACCACUUCCCCACUGAGAUCGUUCAAGUCUAACUCCUAUUACCAUCUGAGGGAACAAGCACAUUGCAGAAUUAAGUAGCAGAGGAUUUCUAGACUUAACAUGUAAUUUAAUUCAAUCCAAAUAUAUUGAGCACCUAUUAGAGACACUACAGCGAAUUAAAAAGGAAUAUGGCCACUGCCUACCUAGAAGUUUAUACAGUCUAGCAGAGGAGCCAAGACCACAGGUAAAUGUGAGCACUGCUGAAGCAGAAGUGGAGAAUGGAAGCAGGAGGUCAGGAUUUCUAGCCAAAUGUCAGCUGGGAGUCAGAGAACUUCUAUCUAGAUUCUGAUUUUUAGCAACUUACUGCUGGUUCACUUGUUCGGAGAGGUUUCUUCACACCUCUCUUCCACUCCUACCUCCCCCUGCUAAAAUCCACUGACUGAAGAAUACUUAGUAUGGAUCCACAUGGAACCAAAAGCCCCAACUGAAUGGAGUCACAUGCAUCAGCACAGUGGCUACCGGUUUCGUCUGCUCACCCAGCCUCAUGUAUUUAGGGACUGAAUUCAAGCUAGAAGCACCCAACACUUUUGUCUUUUGGAAUCUAAUCCAAGUGCCAAUGUACAUCUAAAA